rnacentral:sRNA from 1 species
UAAAUUCUAGCUUUUUUUUCCUUGCCUUUUGGGAACAGAAUUUCUGCUAGGGUAGCUUUGAACACCCAGGCCUCCUGCUUUAGCCUACUGAGUGCUCAGAUUAUGGGUGAACGCCACCACACCGUAGUCCAUGCUGGUUAUAUAGACCAGAGGUGCUGAACUUCCAGCUAGGAGGUAGCUCAGACAGUGCUUCUGAUGUAGGACCUGAAUCAGAGUCAACUCAAUUUUGAAAGACUCAUAUUUCAGGAUGGAGUUUUCUUCUGUAAGAAUUAAUUUUGAUUGGUGGGGAGCAGGAUGGUGGAAAGAAGUUGGAAAUGACAUAGAGCAUUUUGCCUUAGCAUGUAGACAUGAGACUGAAACAUACCCAUUAGGGAGGAACACGUCAGAACUGACAUCGAGGUAAUGGUUUGGGAGUACAGAGUCUGGUCUCGUUUGACUCUAAUCUACAUGCUUGCAUGACUGAAACUGAAACUAUACAAAAUUAGAAAAGAAAAAGCUUUACUUUCAUUCCCUGUAGACGGGGCAGAAUUAGCCAUUCACACCAAUGGUUGCCAUGGGUAGAUGGAGACCAUUCUCUAUAAGAGAACCAAGGAAUUUAAAGAAAGUGGGUGCUAUUUAGGUUGAAGUACAAGUCCACAGCCUGUUCCAGUCUGGUCCUGCAACGAGGGAGCCAAGAAGAUCACUUCUCUCUUCCUGAUCUCGGUUAUCUCAGUCUUGGCUAGAGAAGCAGUCAACACAGAGGCUCAUAACUGGGCUAUGUGCCGUGGAACAGCUUCUUGUUCAGACACUUUCUAAGGGCAAAAAAGGGCAAGUAGAAAACGACGGUGGAAAAAGCAUUUGGAGCAGGUUAGUCAUAGAGGAGAAAGUGUAAGUACAGUACUAUUUGCUAAGACCACAAUAGGAAGUGUGAUUGUGGUGUCCAUGCGUCCUUGUAUUGUAGAAGGAGAGGGCAGUGUUAAGUGACUGAAGCCUUCCUUUGAUACUUGUUGAUCCUUUCUAUAAGGAGGGAUGCCUCUUACACAGGCAGGGCUUAGCAGGUCGCCUGUCAGGACAAGCCCAGAGGUGGCAUUACUUGCUGUUUGCUGAUCAAUGAGUCUUUGGAGCUCUAAGAACUCAGGCUCAAGGAGUGACUCUGGGAAGAUGAGUUGUGUGGCUCUGCCCUGGAUUCCACAGUCUAGCACAGGACGGUGAUUUAGUGCCUCGUGACUCAAAAUCCCCAAAGCUUGCUUACUUUUCCUCAGCCUGCAGUGCCCAGAAUGGAGCUGUUGGCAAAUCGCAGUCCACACCCCCACUUUUCAAUCUUUUCGCUAAUUUCUUACUACUUCACUUGAGAGAGUCCCAGAAGAACGGUGUGAUGAUUCAUCAGCCCUACUUCCUCAUUUCUGCUGACAGAGAGCUAACUUUGUCUCCAUUUCCAUGGUCGUCCCAAAAGAGCAAAAACAAAACAACUUUAAAAAAAUUUUAAUUUGCUACGUUUGGUGCGAAGUGACUUCCUGUGAGCUGGAGAGGCCAAAGGCUGGAGAGACCCCACUGUAGCCCAUUCUAUGACUGAGAGAUCCGAGACCCCAAGAGCCUACAAGAUUUCCUGUUUCUACACAACCGCUCAGUAGCAUACAGAUUUGGGCAGGGAUCUGCUAGUUUUAGGCUGUGAUUUUCUGUAACUUUGUGGAUGAUAAAUAGAUCGAAGCUUAUCUGUGCUAUGUCACAAGGAAACACAUAACCAUAAAACUUUCUGGUGAGAGCA